GUUUCUGUAGUGUAGCGGUUAUCACAUUUGCCUCACACGCAAAAGGUUCCCGGUUCAAAACCAGGCAAAAACA